rnacentral:rRNA from 1 species
CCUACGGGGGGCAGCAGUGAGGAAUAUUGGUCAAUGGACGAGAGUCUGAACCAGCCAAGUAGCGUGAAGGAUGACUGCCCUAUGGGUUGUAAACUUCUUUUAUAUGGGAAUAAACUGUUCCACGUGUGGGCUUUUGUAUGUACCAUAUGAAUAAGGAUCGGCUAACUCCGUGCCAGCAGCCGCGGUAAUACGGAGGAUCCGAGCGUUAUCCGGAUUUAUUGGGUUUAAAGGGAGCGUAGGUGGAUUGUUAAGUCAGUUGUGAAAGUUUGCGGCUCAACCGUAAAAUUGCAGUUGAAACUGGCAGUCAUGAGUACAGUAGAGGUGGGCGGAAUUCGUGGUGUAGCGGUGAAAUGCUUAGAUAUCACGAAGAACUCCGAUUGCGAAGGCAGCUUACUAAACUGCCACUGACAUUGAUGCUCGAAAGUGUGGGUAUCAAACAGGAUUAGAUACCCGAGUAGUC